GCCCGGCUAGCUCAAUCGGUAGAGCGUGAGACUCUUAAGUCCAGGUCCAUCUCAAGGUUGUGGGUUCGACCCCCACGUCGGGCU